UCGAGAAUCAUUCACAAUGGGCGCAAGCCUGAUGGUGCGACGCCGCGUGGGGGAAGAAGGUCUUCGGAUUGUAAACCCCUGUCAUGAGGGAGUAAGCUAGUGAUAGUUGAUAGUACCUCAAGAGGAAGGGACGGCUAACUCUGUGCCAGCAGCCGCGGUAAUACAGAGGUCCCAAGCGUUAUUCGGAAUCACUGGGCGUAAAGAGUACGUAGGCGGCAAUGUAAGUCUGAUGUGAAAUGCGGGGGCUCAACCUCCGGACUGCAUUGGAUACUGCAUUGCUAGAGCAAUGGAGGGGAAACCGGAAUUCUCGGUGUAGCAGUGAAAUGCGUAGAUAUCGAGAGGAACACUCGUGGCGAAGGCGGGUUUCUGGACAUUAGCUGACGCUGAGGUACGAAGGCCAGGGGAGCGAAAG
rnacentral:rRNA from 1 species